GCCAGGCGCAGAGGUGCGUGCCUGUAGUCCCAGCUAUUCGGGAGGCUGAGGUGGGAGGAUCGCUUGAGCCCAGGAGUUCUGGGCUGUAGUGCGCUGUGCCGAUUGGGUGUCCGCACUAAGUUUGGCAUCAAUAUGGUGACCUCCCGGGACCGGGGGACCACCAGGUUGCCUAAGGAGGGGUGAACUGGCCCAGGUUGGAAACUGAGCAGGUCAAAACGCCCGUGCUAAUCAGUAGUGGGAUCACGCCUGUGAAUAGCCACUGCACUCUGGCCUGGGCAAUACAGCAAGACCCUGUGUCU
rnacentral:SRP_RNA from 1 species